UACAGAGGGCUCAAGCGUUGUUCGGAUUCAUUGGGCGUAAAGGGUGCGUAGGUGGCGUCGUAAGUCAGGUGUGAAAUCUCGGAGCUUAACUCCGAAAUUGCAUUUGAUACUGCGGUGCUUGAGGACUGGAGAGGAGACUGGAAUUUACGGUGUAGCAGUGAAAUGCGUAGAGAUCGUAAGGAAGACCAGUGGCGAAGGCGGGUCUCUGGACAGUUCCUGACACUGAGGCACGAAGGCCAGGGGAGCAAACGGG
rnacentral:rRNA from 1 species